AUUGAACGCUGGCGGCAGGCCUAACACAUGCAAGUCGAGCGCGAAAGUUCUUCGGAAUGAGUAAAGCGGCGGACGGGUGAGUAAUACAUGGGAAUCUGCCUGGUAGUGGGGGGACAACGUUUCGAAAGGAACGCUAAUACCGCAUACGCCCUACGGGGAAAGGGGGGGAUCGCAAGACCUCUCGCUAUCAGAUGAGCCCA
rnacentral:rRNA from 1 species